GACGAGUCUCACAAACGUUAUUCGGAAUUACUGGGCUUAAAGGGUGCGUAGGCGGUGAAGUAAGUCGGAUGUGAAAUACCUUAGCUUAACUGUGAAACUGCAUUGGAUACUAUCCGGCUCGAGGAAUGGAGGGGAGACUGGAAUACUUGGUGUAGCAGUGAAAUGCGUAGAUAUCAAGUGGAACACCAGUGGCGAAGGCGAGUCUCUGGACAUUUCCUGACGCUGAGGCACGAAAGCCAGGGGAGCAAACGGG
rnacentral:rRNA from 1 species